rnacentral:lncRNA from 1 species
GAAUAAUUCAGAAGAUGAUAGAGCAAAAGAUUGAUGUAGUUUGUUUUGCUUGGGUUAUAUUAACUAGCUAAUUGGGUUGUUUUAUUUUAUGGUGAUUGUGCUCUGUGUUUAAUUAUUACCUAUCAUUUUCUUGAUGGUGGGUUCUAUACGUGUCUUUUGGGACAAUUGAUGUAUUAAUUAGCGUCGUGGUUUGUUUAAUUCAUUACAUGUAGUUUGGUCACUAAUUGUGGCUUAAUUAUAAUACUCUCACGACUUGAUGAAUUUGGGAAGCUACUGAGAAUUUUUUUUUCCCUCCUAAUGUAUCAGACCAAAUUGUCAAAAUAAUCGUACUUGAAGAUUAACCAUCAUGUCCAUUAGUUGAGAUAAAAUUAAUUUAAAUAAAGUAACAAGUUCAUUUUAGCCAAUUUUUUACUCUGAAUGUAGAUUUAUUGGCAGUGAAUAAUGUGCUAGCUGCCUGAGUUCAAGUAAUUAAUACGAGAGCAAGAAUUGGUGUUUAAUGACAACUCCAAACCUCCGGACCCUUGUUUUUAACAAAAUAUUGAUAAUUUGCACUUGCAUACACAUUCAAAUCCUCACAUUUUAUUGAACUUGUAGCAAAUUAAGUAAUAAAAUUUGUUCUAUAAUAUCACCUAAUUGAAAAUUUAUGUAGUGUUUGUUUCGAAUUUUUUAUCACUUGAGACAAUCACAAGUCAUUUGAUUUAUUUAAUCUUUUUCAAUAUAAUAUAAUUGAUUUUUAUUUUAAUCAAUCAUUUAUACAUCUCUUUCGGUCUAAUUAUUAAACUAAUUUGCAGAUUAGUCUCACUAAAACAACGUCAUGCCUCGAGACUUGAAACAUCCGAACGAAACGGCGUCGUCGACUGUUGUGACGUGAAGGUUCGCCUUGGCGAAGUACGUCUUUCCCCGCUAAAUUUGCUACAAAAAAAAAAAAAAAACUGCAGCCACCUCUACUUCUUCAAUUUAUUCUGCGUUUUGCCCUUUAAACCAAAAAAAUAAAAUAAAAUAAAACAAAAAAAAACCAAAAAAGAAAAAACUUUUUGAUCGUAAAAUUUAUGGUUUGAGUUAAUUCUUAACUUUGAAUCCACCAAAAAUAAGAAAAUAAACACUUGCGAGCCAUCUAGUUCUUUGUCAAAGUUUCGCUGAUCAAAUCACUGUGAGCUUCAUAUUCUCUUAUAAAGAGAGGCAUGCGCCCGUAUAAAGAAAUAGUGGGAAAAUGAAAAAAGAAGAAAUCAAGUAAAAAUCAAAAGAAAAAAAAGAAAGAAAAAAAAGAAUUAAGAAAGAUUUAUUGGAGGGAUAAAAGAAGCUUCAGGAGUGUUUAUAUCAGAGGUCUACGCCCAUAUCAACAAACAAUCGGAAAAUAAAAGAAGAAACAAAAAGAAGAAGAAGAAAGAUUUACUGAAUGGAUAGAUGACGCUUCAGCAGUGUUAAUAUCAAAGGCUUGCGCCUUUAUCAAGAAAUCAAAAGUUCAUUUCAAAAGAAAACCAGAAAAAAAUUUGAAUUUCAAUUAAAUUAUACCUACCAUUGGCGGUGUUGGAGGAGCCGAGGAUGGUAAUUUGUGUCUCAUCUGCCAACGCAAAUAGGCUCCAUUGGCAAAAAAAAUUUGUUUGGCAGUAUGACCCUUGUGAGGUCGAGGGGGCAUUCGAGAAAGAUGCCUUCGACGAUCUUUAAUAUUAUAUUUUUAAAAUGAUAAUAAUGUAAAGAGGACGAUGAUAAUAUAGAGAGGAUGAUGAUAGUGAAAGAAGUGAAUGAGAUUAAAUAAAUGUAGGACAACAUUUUAUUGGAGGGAAAAUACUUUGUACCAUUAACGGUUAGUUCGAACCAAACCGAACCCGAAUUGUUAUUCGUUUUAAUGUUCGGUUUGGAUUAACACUAAAAAUUGAACAGGUUAAACUCAUAAAACCAAUCAGCUUUGCAAUUCGGUUCGAGUUAUAACCCUGAGAGGGCAAAAAUGGGCACACAGCAAAGGAUUUAACCCCUUAAAAAUGUUCAAGUUGUUUAUUAUCUCACAAAAAAUGGCCAGCUUAAGCAUCCUCACUAUAUGGAAGUUACCUAUUUGCCCAAUCAAUCUCUUCAUUUGAAAGGUAAUUAACCUCUUGUUUAUUAUUCGGUUUAGGUUGCAACACCUCGCUCUCGUUGCUCUAAAGGUGUUUCAACUUACAAACAUGAGGACCAUGAGUCUCAUCACAAUAAUAACAAGAUCCCAAACCCUAAUAACCCAAACAGUAGCAACAACGAAAAAAACAAUACAUCAAAAAGAUUUGAAGAUGGUGACCCCUUUGCCAGCGAGCCUUUGGCGCCGAGUCGUAACUCGACAGUGCUUCUUAAUCUCAUUUCUUGUGGGGAACCUAGCGGUUGCUAAAGCCAAUAACAUGCCCAUUGCAGUGAAUAAUAGUGAUAAAAAUAAAAAUGUGGUGGUGGUGAAGAAGAGGGGUAUUAAUGAUAAUUUGCAUAAAGGGGUUCUUUGUCAAAGUGCAGUAAAGGUUGCUGAAGAGGAAGAUAAUGUGAUUAUUAAUUACAUGUCGGAAAACCCAAGAUUUGGAAACUUUCAAUCUGAAGAGAAAGAGUAAUUCAAUGGGAUCAUUCUUGAAUAUGCGAGUAACAACCAAGUUGAGAUCCAACCUGUUUUGAAAAAUCAAAUUCGUACAAUGAAGAAAGAUUACUUUCUUUUCUUCUUGUUUUUUUUUUUUUUGGCCACUUUACCAUUGAUCAAUGGGCAUUUGGUCCAACAGGAGAAGUCUUGCACUUACAAUGUUGAGUGCAAGGGUUCGAGCCUCCAUAAGAACUUUAUGGAGGUUAGUUUCAGUACUCCUUCAAUUAUCAACUAAUUGACUGGAGACAGUCUCUCCCUUAUGAAAUAUGAGCGGAGUAAGCACCCCUCGAAUAUGAGAGAGGGUUUAAAGUAUCUGGGCAUGUGCUUCAGUGUGUCAAUGUAUGAUGGUGGUCAAGUGCUUCAAUGUGUCAAUGUAUGGCGGUGGUCCAAGUUGUAUAGUAUGAUUGUAAAUAUUAAUUAUAAUGUUUGAUGUAAUAUUAGUAACAAUCUGUGUAUAACAGAAUUCAAAAAAAGAACUUUAGGGUAUAUAUUAUGUUUUGGGCUACUUUAUCAUUGAUCAAUUAGUUUAGGACAAUUUUGCAAAAGUUAAAAAGGCCUACUUCCACCUUCACGUUGUGCCUUUAUGGUCCAUUUGAUCUUUAUGACCCCCACGGUUCGUUAUCUCUUAGUGUCAAGUAAAUAGCCACAAGAUUAUAUUGACAUUCAUUGUGGAUUUUUUCUCAAUCCAACUCUUGAUAUGAAUAUGUUUUGUCACAGAUAUAAAGUCGAUGUUAUUAAAAAUCCGACAUUGUAGUCCAAAAACAACUAGCAACUACUUGAAUUAUUGAAGUUUUUACGUAUAAUGUAUAAAUUAUAUUGUGUAAAAGUUUAUUAAAUCUCUUGAAAUUGGAUGUAUUAAAUAAUUUUAUUGAUGUUUUAAGUAAAUAAAGUUAAUUAGUGUAAAUAGUUUGAGUAAGGAUCUUUUUGAAAUUUUAAAGAGUGUACAAAGUAAUUUUUUUUUAUAAACUAGUAUAUUAAUGUACAAAUUAAUAUAGUGUUCAAAGUAAUUUUUAGAGUACAAACAAUCUCAUUCAUUUUUAUUCCUUAAUUUUCAUUUUUAUUUUUGAUAAGUAAUACACCAUAAGAUUUAAUUGUCAAUCUCCUAAAUAAAAUUUCAAAACAUUAUCUCUGACUCCUUGUCUUAAAAAUGGUUGAAAAUUUUUAAGACAAGAAGAUACAUCAUUCAUUCCUAUUGGAUGAGGUUAUUCGUACUCUAAAAAUUACUCCAAACACUCUAAUUUUAAUAAAAUUUUUAUUACAAAAAUAAUCAUCAUAUGAAUUACUAUUGAGAACACUUUAUUAUAAGUGAAUAUUACAUAAUUAUUUUGAACACUUAUGUAGCAUACUCCUUAUUCAAUGUAUAUAACUCUCAUGUUUUAACUUUUAUUUUCAAUAUCUUAAUCAAUACCUAGAUAAAUAAAGAUGAAAUUAAUAUUUUAAUUUUUUUAUUUUUGCAUUAAUUAUUUAUGGAAUGUUUCUUAUUAUUAUUUUCUCAUUGCUAGUUCUUUUGGACGGAAAAUCCAAUGUUGAACGUAAAUAAACAAAAUAAUAAUAAUAACUAUAUUUCCAUUAAAAAUUUUGUUUACAACUUGACUUGAUUAUAUUGUUGUAAAAAUUUAUUAAAUCUCUUGAAAUUGGGAGUAUUAAAUAAUUUUAUUGGUGUUUUAAGUAAAUAAAGUUAAUUAAUUUAAAUAAUUUGAGUGAGGAUCUUUUUGAAAUUUUUAAGAAUAUACAAAGUAAAACUUAAUUUUUUAAAAAUUAAUAUACAAACAACCCCACUUAUUCUCGUUCCUUAAUUUUCACUCUGAUUCUUAUAAGCAAAUACAACCAUAGGAUUUAAGCGUCAACCUCCAAAUAAGUUUUGAAAAUAUUAUCUCCGACUCCGAGUCUUAAAUAUGGCUGAAAAUUUUACACGACUAAGAUAACAUGGGUGAAAAAGUUACACGCAUGAGUUGACUUCACAAUGCAGCAGCUUUCACCGCCAGCGCUUUCUCUGCUGUUACACGAACUCAGGGAGCACUUUUUUCACACACCUACUCUUUUCCCAAGCUUUUGCAUCAACCACAAGGCACGAGCAAUUCUGUGGCAUAUCAAUAACACUACUACAUUAUCCUACGUACAAUACGAACACAGAAAAAGCACUUUUUACAAGAAAGCAAAGCAAUCCAGUCUGUUAAUGCCAAAAAAAUCAAGUUGAAGAUAAAUAGGGCGUUAAUAAUGGCGAUAUAAUUGUACAGUUAAAACGGUGAAAAAGGUAAACUGAAGCUUUUUGAAAAAAGCUUUUUGAAUCAGAGUAAAGUAAGAGCAUACAGCUUUAGGUCACAUCAUAACUCAGGCCUUUAAGAUCGUCCCUAUAAUAGGGGACCUAUGAGCCCUAACCGUAACGAGCAGUCAUGCUCGCGGUACCCCUUGUGGCUAAGGAUGUAAUAUAUAUGUCAUGGCCAUAGCUCAGCCAAUUAAUCAAUUAGUGGCAAGAUAAAUUGUUAGGGUAUUGCGAUUUUUUGUUUUGUUUUGUUUUUUCUAGUUUUUUGGAUAAGGGGGUACUGGGAUUAAUGGUUAGGGUUAGUAGAUUAAAUUAAAUCAUGUGUAUCUACAUGUGGUGGCCAAAAGCCGUGUAUGGACUUGAAAAACCAGGUGUUUUUAAAAAAAAUGGGUUUAAUUGGAAUGGGAAUGGAGUUUAUGAGAGUUAUGGCCAAUAUAGGAGGAUAACUCAAUAAAUUCUUUUUAGGAAAUUCUUGUAAAUGUGGGCAAUACCACCAUUAUUUUUUCUUUAGAGAUAUAGAUUGUGCAUGAUACGAAGUAAGAUGCAAUGCUAAUUUGAUUUUUAUUGAGCAUUGAUUCAAUGAUUAAGAUAUAUUUUUUACUUUUAUUUUUUUAUUUCUCUUACCCAACAACUAUUAAAUUUUUUAUUAAAAAACCAUUAAUUUAGUGUUGAAAAAGAAAAAAAUAACUCGGCACCCUAUCUUUAUUUGCAUGACACAUCUUUCAAUCAAUAUAUAGUGGGUAGUGCCAUUUAAUUCAAUCAAACUUCGAAACAACAUUUACCAUCUGACUUUUCUAUUUUACAAACGCCAAUUUUCUUCCGAAAAUAAAUAAUAAAUUUAACUUUUAGAAUUAGUAUUUUUUUUUAACUAUUAAGUUACAUAAAAGACUUACCAGGACAAAAUCUUCUCUUACACAUGCACAAACAGAAACGUGAACAUUUUUUCACAUUUGUGGAAAUGGAAAUAAUUACCGCCCUAAUAAAUUUUUAUCAAGUACCAUACAUACAAUUUUAAGCUAGAAAAAAAAUAAUUUAAUAAAUCAGUUAUUACUAAAUCAACAAAUUAAGUAUUUGGACAAAAUUUCACUGCUUAAAAGUUAAAAGAGGGGAACGAGGGACGUAGAAAAACUAAAUGGACAUAGGAAAAUAAUGUUUUAAAAUCAUUUUAUGAAUUAGAAGAUAAAAAAAAAAAAAAAAAGUCAUGCCAUGAUUUGGACAAUACACUUUCCAUAAAAAUUUGACUAAUUAGUUUUUGCCCAGAGUGGCAUAUUUUAUUUUAUUUUGCUCUUUAAUAUUAAUUAUUUUUUCAUUGAUGAUUUUGACUCUCAAGUGAUAUACACGAAUAAAAGGCAGGUCCGUCUGGCGGUGUCUGCUACUCCCUACGACACGACGUGACGAGACAACAAAAGAAUCCAAAACACGAUCCCCAAGGCUCCACGUACGAACGAAUACGAGGUCUCAUUCUCAAAAUCCCAAGCAGCGUCAUCACUUGUAUUUAAUUUUUCUCCUUCGUUUAUUGCUUUGAAUUUUUCUCUUCUCCUUUUCUCUUCCUCUGUUUACACACACGCACGUCCAUCAUCAACCUUUUAAUUCAAUUUUGCACGUCUCAUCUGAGGGUGAUUUUUUUUAUUAAAGUACGUUUACUUAAAAGAAAUACCAAUAUAUGUAUGCAUGUAUGUAUGUAUGUAUGUAGAGCACACCAUCAAAUUAAAAGAUGAAAAAAAUUAAGUAAAGGUUUAGGGGAAAAAAUUUCACUACAAGAUAAUUUUUUUUAAAUUUUUUGUGUCUUUUAUACUAAAUUUUAUGUUAUUUUUAGCACAUGUACGAUUAUUCUAAAAAAAUACAAAUUUGAUGGUAGACUCUAUUUAACUAUGGUUUAAUGUUGUAUUAUUGCUAGAUAAUGUGAUUUUGUAUUAUUGCUAGAUAAUGCGAUGUAACAUUAAAUUGAAUUUUAAAAUCCGCAAAUGUUUAUACAAAAGAAACACUAUUCUAAUUACGAAUCUUUAAUUGUUAAAUUCAUGGCUUAGUCCUCACAAGAGAGAAACUGUUUAAAAAUCAUUCAUGAUUCAACUAAUUAAUGGAAUCUUUAGUAGUGUGUGUGCUGGUUAGAUUAAGCUGUAAAAUCUAUGUAGGUGAUAAAAAAAAAGUCUGAAAUUUGAACCCCACGCGUAUGGGUAAAGAGAGAAUUUGGUUUCAAUUAGACUAAAAAAAGUAAUGACCAUUUGGUGUCUAGUAUGCAAUUAUGCAAUUAUUUCAUCAACUGGGAAGUUGGUGGUUAAAUUGUUAAAUUUUAUUAGAGUGAGAAUAAGAUUAAUGAUGAGGCCGGGUGAGAUGAUUGAUUUAGAUUUGAAUUGAUUUUGUUCCCUAUCUAAUCGACCGUUGACUCCCUUAGUGAAUUAGGUAAGAUAUUGAUCAUUUCAUUCUCUUGAUCAAAUUUGUUUAUCCUUUAUCAUAGUUGUUUAACUUUCAGUUAUUAAAAGACUUUAAUGAGUAACGUCCACAUAAUUAUGAUGAGCACAAGAAAUACAUCGUUCCCUAGCUCUUUCUCUUCGUUCUUCAUUAUCAUAUUUGGCUUUUUCUAACUAAUACUGUGACAAAUUUUUUUUGACAAUUUUUUUUUAAAAAAUCAAUCAUCUAUCACAUGAAAUCUUUUACGUCUAUCAUCGGAACUACGAGAACAGUGCAACACAAACAAUAUAAAGAUAAAUUUGGGUGAACAAAAAUUACUAUAAAUAUAGAUCUCUGAAGAUAACUAUCCUCAUACAAAAAUUAGAAGGAAUUCGAGGAUUAUAAAUGUAUGUUUUGGUUUGGCUUGAAGUGAAAGAGAAAGAGGGAUGGGGAUGUUUCGAGGAUUACAAACGUUUUUGGCCAAAUAAAGAUGUUGAAGGACUUAUUUUCUAAAUUAGUCCUGUAAAAUUUUCUUACAUAUAAAACAAAACUAAAAGUCCUGUAAAAUUUAUCCUCCAUUUAGCUUCCACUAGGCCCUAGAGCUUGCCUUUCUUAACCAGUUGCUGCAAGAGGCCAAGUCUAUUAGCUGUAGUAUCAUGUGACGAUUUGAUAGGGGAACGAACCAAAUCAAUGCCUAGAAUGUGGAGCUAGCUGCGAAACGUGGUUAUGUUUGCAUAGCUAAUCCUCAAAUCAUCUUUUUUGCCCCAGUUGGGGAUCAGCGCUUAACAUAGUUAGCCAAAAAGUCAAAUUAAUUAGUCUUCAAAAUUUGAUAUUGACCCAACACCAAACACAUUCUCUCUUUAUCUUUUUAUCUCUACGUGUACACAUUUAACCACAAAUUAACUCCAAAAGAAUCCAAAGUCGUUUUCCACAAUUAAUUCUGGACAUUAAAUUGACUUUCUAUUCAUCACAUACCCUUUUGCUACCUUUUACUAUUUUGCCUUAACUCUUACAUAUAUAUAAAAGGUGGUACAGCUAUGUAUGUUUCAAGUUUCAGCCAUUGCAAGGCCAAGGAACUAGAACUACAAAAUUAUGGAUGUUCGAUCAAGAAGAGGCAGAGAGAGCAGCAGCCCUGACAGGGCCAAAACGGGCAUGCAGCCAAGGAUUAAACCCAUUAAAAAAGUUCAAAUUGUUUAUUAUCUCACCAGAAAUGGCCAGCUUGAGCAUCCUCAUUAUAUGGAAGUUACCCAUUUGCCCAAUCAACCUCUUCGUUUGAAAGGUAAUUUUAAAAAAUAAAUAAAUAAAAUAAACCAUGGCUUAUUGCUUAUAUUUUUCUCUAUUUUGAGCUCUUAAUUAUUCUAUUAUGUUUUUGUGUGUGCACAGAUGUAAUGGAUCGACUGACACUUCUUAGAGGCAAAGGCAUGCCGUCAUUAUAUUCUUGGUCAUGCAAAAGGUAAAAAAAAUCACUGUAAAAAAUUGAGUUGAAUUUUACCUUCUUUUUUUUUUUCCUCUUUGCUAAUUAUUAUGUUUAAUUCUGUUUUCCCAGGAGCUACAAAAACGGCUAUGUAUGGAAUGACUUAGCAGAUAAUGAUGUUAUUUAUCCAUCUGAUGGAGCUGAAUAUGUACUUAAAGGGUCUGAGUUACUUGAAGGUUGCUCUGGUAAUUAAUUAAUAUCAGCUCCACAUCUUCUUCAUCUAUAUUUCUUUUCAAUUUAUGUAUUCUUUUAAUUUUUACAUAUUACGUAAUUGUAAAUUAAAAAAUUAAAUCUAUGUAUGUUAGCGAGACUCGGACCUGUUGAACGAACUGAUGACACUCAGUUUGUUGAUUGCUAUUAAACUAACUACUCACUGUGCAUUUUCUUCCCGGUUGCAGAAAAAUUUCAACAGCUUCACGUAAGCAACAGGCAGCAACUGAUUCAAGAACCAACAAGCUAUAAUCUCCAUUCAAGGACCAAAACUUUCACCCCAAAUCAACACCAAGAGUAUCAAGAGGAUCAUCAAGAAGAUGAUUGCAAUGAAGAAGAUGAAGAGAAAACAAGCUACACAAGUUCAACAACACCCAGCUCUCGUUGCUCCAGAGGCGUUUCAACUGACGAACUUGAGAACCAAGAGCCUCAUCACAAUAAUAACAAGAUCCCAAACCCUAAUAACCCAAGCAGCAGCAACAACGACAAAAACAAUACAUCAAAAAGAUUUGACGAUGGUGAACCCCUUGCCAGCGAGCCUUUGGCGCCGAGCCGUAACUCGUCGGUGCUUCUUCAGCUCAUUUCUUGUGGGAACCUAGCGGUUGCUAAAGCCAAGAACAUGCCCAGUGUCAAGCAACCAUCUGCUGCAGUGAAUAAUAGUGAUAAAAAUAAAAAUGUGGUGGUGGUGAAGAAGAGGGGUAUUAAUGAUAAUUUGCAUAAAGAGGUUCUUUGUAAAAGUGUAGUAAAGGUUGCUGAAGAGGAAGACAAUAUGAUUAUUAGUUACAUGUCGGAAAACCCAAGAUUUGGAAACUUUCAAUCUGAAGAGAAAGAGUACUUUAGUGGGAGCAUUGUUGAAUCUGCCAGUAAAGACCAACCUAAGAUUCAGCCUGUUUUGAAGAAAUCAAAUUCGUAUAAUGAAGAAAGGUUAGUUUCUUUUUCUUUUUUUCUUUUUUUGGCUACUUUUAUCAUUGAUCAAUUAGUCUAGGACAAUUUUGCACAUAUAUAUAUGUAUACAAUCACGUUCACCUUUAACUUCUCUUUUGUUUGUUUUAACCUUAGGGUAAAUAUUAUGUUUUGUGUUUUCACCAAGCUAGCUGCCAAUUAAACAUUCUGCUGCCAUCCAAUAUUGUUACAAGAAUGUGAAUUAUGUGAAAUGAAAAUUAUUUAUAACUAAUAUACUUUUUACAUUUUUUUUUCAUAUUAUAUGUAAAUGUUCAACUAACAUUUUUUUUGUUAUAAUUAUAUUGUAAUAUAUUCUUAUAUUGUAGUAGUUUAAUUCUUUAACAAUGUGUGCCCAUCAAUCUCAUGUAUACAUAUAAGACUCUUUCAUAUUUAAAAAUUAGAAAAAAAAAUAUUUGUCAUAAAUUGAUUGAUCAAUCACAUUGCGAUUUUUGUUUUAUAUUAUUUUUUGUAUGAUCAGGAGCCGGAAGAAUGGAAUGGGAGAGGCAAUAAUGGAAGUGGAGGACGAGAAGACUAGAAGCAAUUAUGCAAUGAAAGUGAAAUGCAUUCCUCGAAAGAAAUCUUCGGCGUCUUCAAAGAAAACCAGAAAAUGACGACUGAAAAUUAUUUAAUCUCCAAUUAAUUAGAGUAGCAGUCGAAGACUAGAGUCUAGAAGUAGUGGAGUUGCUGGUGUAGUCAUAAUUGUUAGCGGUUAUUUGGAGUUUUCACUCUCUCUCCCUCUCUCUCUCUCUCUUUUUUCUUUUUUAUAAUGAUUAAUACAACUGUUUCUUGCUGUGAAAGUUAUUAUCAUUAUUAUUGGUAGGGAGAUGGUGUCAUUUAUUUAAUAUUUUAUUUUGAGAAUAUAAAAUAUAUAUUUAUUAUGAGAAAAUAUUUUUAAUAUUAUUUUUUAUUUACACAAAAACUUAUAUUUUUUUCUGCUGGCAGUGGGACUCAUGUGAUUUUUGUGAGAGGAAUAAGGGUGUAUUUGAAAGUGAGGUGCUGUAAUUUUUAAAGUGCAACUAUUGUAAAGUAAAAAUUAUAGUUGUGGAAUAGAAGUUAAGGAAAAAAAAUUUACUAAACUGCCAAAGCUCAACUACAAAUGUUACCAAAUAUUUAAUAAUUAAACUUUAACAAUACAACUACCUUACUGGACUCUCAAACCUGCUAUAAGAAAAAUAUGCGAUCUCACUUAUUAGUAAAAUGUAUACUAGACAUGAAUCUUGGGGAUGAUGUUGAAAUAUUGAAAGGUCGUUUCGAUCAUCCUUGAUCACCUGAUCUUGUCGCAUGCGCGCAUGAUGCAUCACAUCAUACGGCUCCUUUGUCGUCAUUAUAUACGGCUUUCAUAAGAUUCUCUUGUUUUUUUUUGUUUUUUUCCUUUUGCCAAUCUUCCUUAUUGGUAUUAUUUUGCGAAUCGAACCUUUUUUUUUUUUUUUUGGGAAAAGGAAAUUUUAAUUAGCCGUAUCAUCAUAUCUAGUAAAUAUUGUAAAUAUGUACGCAGUGAGAAGUGUUGGACCAAAUUGAGUAAAAGUAGGCCUAAUGAUUUGCAAGAGAUUAUUUCAUACAGAAAGCCCAAGAAAAUUUAUUAUUCAAGUCCAAUAAAUCCUUUCAUUCGCCAGUUCAAAAGAGAACGAGGAAGUGCCAUGUGAGAAUGUAUUUUUUCAGGGAAAGGCCCAAUUAAAAUUAAAACAAAUUGAUCGAAUUUUGACUCUACGAAUUGCACAUGCAAUGCUUAAUUACCUGGCAAAUCAAUUAAUUUUAAUUAGGCAGUUGAUCGAAAACGCUAGAUACGAGGCCUUGGUCAUCAAGAUUGAUAACAGUAGAUAUAAUAUUAAACCCUCUUUAAAUUACCUAUAGCUUUGGCAAAAAUCAACCUCUAUUUCUGCUGUCCUUGGAUCUCUGUUUGAGAAAAGUUACAAAAAAAAAAACAAAAGGUAAUUUCUCCAAGCUUUCUCUUCCGUUAAGUUAGCUUCUACACAUGCAGGCAAUAACAUAACUAUUACAUCUCAAACUUGAAUUCAAGUACCUUCCUAAAAUUGCAAAAUGGCCAACUUGCUACACGAUUAAUUCGUUUCGGUUUAUCAUAUAAUUUGUUUUUUUUUCUUCUUUUUUUCCACGAUCUAAUUAAUUUCUUCAACAUAAACAAACUCAUCGAUUUCGCCUAUGUGAAGGAGGAGCAACGAUUGGAUCCAACCGACCCUAAUUAAUGAUCAAUCAACUUGUGGAGAAAGAACUGCCGCAAGAAGUGCUUUUUAUUUUUCAAAUCUAUGCAUGUGCCCCCAAACACGUCUUAUCAUAAAUGCCACCUUAUUCUAUUCAUACACUCCCCCAGCCUUGUGCAUAUAUUAUAUACAUCACACUCUCUUCAGCUUCUCAAUUUUCAUUUCCACUACUUUUUUCCAAUUUUGCUUUCUUCUUCCCCAUUGCAGCCAUGGCUAGAUUGUUUUUAUUGUUUGCACUCGUGGCUCUGCUGCCGGUGGAGCUCGUUAAUGCCGGCGACCCGUUCCAUAUCCGCGGCCGUGUCUACUGUGACACUUGCCGUUGUGGCUUUGAGACUUCGGCCACCACUUAUAUACAAGGUAUAUAUAUGCAGAAACUAACCUCCAUUAUUAAUUAUUUGCUAAAUUACUCAUAUUAUUCAUGUCUCUUUUCUUUUGUUAAAAUCAGGUCUGGCUAGCAAAAUUGUAAUCAUAUCUAAACAUUUAUGCUUCAAUUUUAUUUGUGUUUACAAUUAACCAGCUCAGCUUUAUAGUAUAUUUGUUUAACUCUAAUAAAGUCCAAAGUAACUUAAGAUCAUCGUCUGAUCCAAACUCGUAACUUUGUUGUGUAUUUUACAAGUUAUGUAUGAUUAAUAAUACUUAAUUUAACCGAUUUAAUUAAUAUUGAAAGUGUAACUUGACAAAUUAAAACAUGAAUAUUUCAAUUAUGCUCUUAGAACCCACCAUAAUAUACACUCAACCCUAACAAUAUUGCAUGUACAUAUUAUGUGUCUCUCAGGCGCUCAUGUGAGAAUCGAAUGCAAAGAUAGGAACAGCUUAAAUCUGAAAUACUCCAUCGACGGCGAGACAGACUCAACAGGAACAUACAACAUUCAUGUAGAUGGUGAUCACCAAGAUCAAAUUUGCUACUCAAAGCUCAUCAGCAGCCCGUUGGCUGACUGCAAAACAGCUGAUCCGGGGCGUGCAUGUUCGCAAGUCAUCCUCACACGUUCCAAUGGCGCCGUUUCAAAUCUUCAUUUCGCCAACGCCUUGGGUUUCUUGAAGGCCCGGCCGCUGGCUUUCUGCCCUGAGUUGCUUAAGAAGUACUUGCCUCAAAAUGAGAUAAAAUUUAUUUAGAAUAAUUCAGAAGAUGAUGGAGCAGAAGAUUGAUGAAGUUUGUUUUGCUUGGGUUAUAUUAACUAGCUAAUUGGGUUGUUUCAUUUUAUGGUGAUUGUGAUCUGUGUUUAAUUAUUACCUAUCAUUUUCUUGAUGGUGGGUUCUAUACGUGUCUUUUGGGACAAUUGAUGUAUUAAUUAGCGCCGUGGUUUGUUUAAUUCAUUACAUGUAGUUUGGUCACUAAUUGUGGCUUA